CCCGUACACAAAAGCGCAUGUGCUGUGAGCUCGAUGAGUAGGGCGGGACACGUGGUAUCCUGUCUGAAUAUGGGGGGACCAUCCUCCAAGGCUAAAUACUCCUGACUGACCGAUAGUGAACCAGUACCGUGAGGGAAAGGCGAAAAGAACCCCGGCGAGGGGAGUGAAAAAGAACCUGAAACCGUGUACGUACAAGCAGUGGGAGCACAGGUUUACCUGUGUGACUGCGUACCUUUUGUAUAAUGGGUCAGCGACUUAUAUUCUGUAGCAAGGUUAACCGUAUAGGGGAGCCGGAGGGAAACCGAGUCUUAAUUGGGCGUUAAGUUGCAGGGUAUAGACCCGAAACCCGGUGAUCUAGCCAUGGGCAGGUUGAAGGUUGGGUAACACUAACUGGAGGACCGAACCGACUAAUGUUGAAAAAUUAGCGGAUGACCUGUGGCUGGGGGUGAAAGGCCAAUCAAACCGGGAGAUAGCUGGUUCUCCCCGAAAGCUAUUUAGGUAGCGCCUCGUGAAUUCAUCUCCGGGGGUAGAGCACUGUUUCGGCUAGGGGGCCAUCCCGGCUUACCAACCCGAUGCAAACUGCGAAUACCGGAGAAUGUUAUCACGGGAGACACACGGCGGGUGCUAACGUCCGUCGUGAAGAGGGAAACAACCCAGACCGCCAGCUAAGGUCCCAAAGUCAUGGUUAAGUGGGAAACGAUGUGGGAAGGCCCAGACAGCCAGGAUGUUGGCUUAGAAGCAGCCAUCAUUUAAAGAAAGCGUAAUAGCUCACUGGUCGAGUCGGCCUGCGCGGAAGAUGUAACGGGGCUAAACCAU
rnacentral:rRNA from 1 species